rnacentral:rRNA from 1 species
CCUUGAAUGGGGGACAACCGUGGGAAACUACGGCUAAUACCGCAUGAUGCCUGAGGGCCAAAGACGAAAGUCGUUUGAGGAGGAGCCUGCGUCUGAUUAGGUAGUUGGUGGGGUAAAGGCCUACCAAGCCUGCGAUCAGUAGCUGGUCUGAGAGGAUGAUCAGCCACAUUGGGACUGAGACACGGCCCAAACUCCUACGGGAGGCAGCAGUGGGGAAUAUUGGACAAUGGGCGAAAGCCUGAUCCAGCAAUGCCGCGUGUGUGAAGAAGGUCUUCGGAUUGUAAAGCACUUUUGGCAGGGACGAUGAUGACGGUACCUGCAGAAUAAGCCCCGGCUAACUUCGUG